GGCGGACGGGUGAGUAACACGUGGGAACGUGCCUUUAGGUUCGGAAUAAGCCCGGGAAACUGGGUCUAAUACCGAAUGUGCCCUUCGGGGGAAAGAUUUAUCGCCUUUAGAGCGGCCCGCGUCUGAUUAGCUAGUUGGUGGUGUAAUGGACCACCAAGGCGACGAUCAGUAGCUGGUCUGAGAGGAUGACCAGCCACAUUGGGACUGAGACACGGCCCAAACUCCUACGGGAGGCAGCAGUGGGGAAUCUUGCGCAAUGGGCGAAAGCCUGACGCAGCCAUGCCGCGUGUAUGAUGAAGGUCUUAGGAUUGUAAAAUACUUUCACCGGUGAAGAUAAUGACUGUAGCCGGAGAAGAAGCCCCGGCUAACUUCGUGCCAGCAGCCGCGGUAAUACGAAGGGGGCUAGCGUUGCUCGGAAUUACUGGGCGUAAAGGGAGCGUAGGCGGACAUUUAAGUCAGGGGUGAAAUCCCAGAGCUCAACUCUGGAACUGCCUUUGAUACUGGAUGUCUUGAGUGUGAGAGAGGUAUGUGGAACUCCGAGUGUAGAGGUGAAAUUCGUAGAUAUUCGGAAGAACACCAGUGGCGAAGGCGACAUACUGGCUCAUUACUGACGCUGAGGCUCGAAAGCGUGGGGAGCAAACAGGAUUAGAUACCCUGGUAGUCCACGCCGUAAACGAUGAUUGCUAGUUGUCGGGAUGCAUGCAUUUCGGUGACGCAGCUAACGCAUUAAGCAAUCCGCCUGGGGAGUACGGUCGCAAGAUU
rnacentral:rRNA from 1 species